AAAGCUGUUUUUCUUAUGUUGAGACAACUAAUUUCCUUAAAAAUGAAAGUAUCCGCAGCAAUUCUUUGAAAUCCUUGUAUGUCAACAAUAUAAACAUUUUCUUCUGGAUAUUUCAGUAUGGUAUUUUGAAACAUCUUUUUGUAUUCACACAUUGCAGUCAUCUCGCAGCUUCGUAGAGUUAGUUCUAUAAGACGAAUUUAUUGUAAAUGAACAGAUGAAUUUUGUCAUCCUGCUUAUAUAAGAAGAAACUCCACCUUGGUUGUCACACAAUUGGUUGUCAAAAAGAAGCAUAGACCUCAUUGGUCUAAAAAUAGAAAAUUCAUCCCCUCCCAAGAAAAUAUCCCUUCUCCUUGUCAAACUUCCUAUUCAUUGGUAGUUUCUAAAAUUUGUCUCUUUUUCUUUCGUGGUCUCGUCUAUAUAUAGCAAGAAAUUUUACUGUGAGGAGCAGACUUCGUCUACAACAGUACACGAAACUAGUUCUUUAUACAAUUCUGUUUUGUGAGUGUUAAGUGAAAAAGUAAAUAUGGCUUCAUUUCAACUUUUUGAACGCCUUGUUGAAGUAGUGCGUGAUACUUUGCGAAAUAUACAUGAAAUGAGCAAUAAUGAUAUUCAUUAUUCGCUGGACAUGUGCAAUUCCACAAUAAAGGAAUUGAACGAAAAAAUCGACAAAGCUAAUCUUGCAAGACGAGAAAAGCAGAAAUAUCAAACUUGUAUGACACAUCUAUAAUGUGUGCAAGUUCAACUCCAACAACAUCUUCAGCAAGGAGGUGGUCUACAAUCGGAAGAAACUGAAGCUAUAUUUGAGUGGCGAGAUGUAGAAUCAGCGUUUCAAAAUCGAAUUAGAACAGGUGUAAUUGUAAACAUAAAGCAUGUAGAAAUUCUAAGUUUUUUUAACGAUGCGCAAAAGCUCUUCAAGGUUAAAGUAGAAGAUUGCUUGAAGGAAUAUAACGCUGUAAAAAUUAAUUCUGACUUUAUCGCAGAAUUUUCUAUGCAAAAAAAUGGUGAGGAAACGACAGACAUUAAAUAUUUUACAAGUGAAAGUGUUACAGCAUUCAUGUCAACGAAUUUGGAAGAAUGGUUCAAGGAUCAUAUCAAAGAACCUAUUCUCACCCAGCUUGAAGAAUUCCAGGAGAAAGAUUCUGGCUGGACCCUGACGAGUAUUAUCAGUUUGUGUAUCAAUAUGAAAAAAUAUUCUCCAAUCAAGGGGAGUUCCUUCAUUCCACUUCCAAAGUUUAUAGAAAAUAAAAAGGCAUGUGUUAACGUUCGUAAUGAUGAUAAUCAUUGUUUCAAGUAUGCUAUACUUUCAGCAUUGCAUCCUAGUGAAACUAAUCCCAAUAGAGUUAAUCAAUAUCGUUUGUAUGAGAACGAGCUGAACUUUGGUGAUAUAGAAUUUCCAGUGAAACUCAAAGAUGUUCCGAAAUUCGAAAAAUUAAAUGAUAUUUCAAUAAAUGUAUACAUAUUAAAAUGUACAAUGCAAAGUUCGAAGUAUCGCCAUGCCAUAUUACAAAAGAAAAGAAAGAAAAACAUGUUAAUCUACUCCUCAUUCAAGAUUUUUACAUAGAUGAAAAUGAAGAAAAUAAUCAUGAUGAUGGCGGAAGCUUGCCUAAAUACCACUACGUUUGGAUUAAAUAUCUGUCUCGACUUUUAAGCACUCAAUUAAGUAAAUCUCAUGUAAAAUCAUACCACUGCGAAAGGUGUUUACAAAUAUUUUACUGUGAAGAAAGGUUGGAAAUGCACGAAAAUGAUUGCAAAAAUUUAAAUAAAUGUCGAAUUAAUUUGCCCGACUUUAAGAUUAACAAUCUUAAAUUUGAAGAUUACAAUAAAAGUGAAAAAGUUCCUUUUGUUAUUUAUGCAGAUUUUGAAUGUUUGUUAAAGCCUACUGAAAAUGAAAAUGCUUUUCAGCUUCAUGAAGCAUAUAGCAUAGGCUAUUAUAUAAAGUGCAGAUUCGAUGACAGUUUAUCUGUUUAUAAAUCAUACAGACAAGAAAAUGAAGAUGAAGAGACACCGGAAAAAUGGUUUGUUCGAGAAAUGAAAGGAAUUAGUGAAAAGAUUGAUCUACUUUACAAAAAUCCAAAACCAAUGAGACUUACAGAUCUAGAAGAAUUGUCUUUUCGGACGUCAUCUGUUUGCCAUAUAUGCCGAAAGCCUAUCAAAAGUGAAGAACUCGCAGUACGAGACCAUUGUCAUCUAACAGGACGUUUCAGAGGUGCAGCUCACAAUUCAUGCAAUUUAAAUUACAAGGAUUCGAGGUUUGUGCCGGUUAUCUUUCAUAACCUCAAUUAUGACACACACUUCAUUUUGAAAGAGAUUGCUACUUCUACAAUAAUGAAUGGACGAGUAUCUCUGAUACUUCACAACAAAGAAAAAUAUAUUUCAUUUACGAAGUAUACAUAUAGAUGACUGUGACAUCAGUUUUAGAUUUAUAGAUUCAUGGCGUUUUUUACCAUCAUCGUUGGAAAAGCUUGCAUCAUAUUUGGAAACCGUGCCGAUAGCAGUAAAUGAGUUUAAAAAUGAUGGAUUUACAGAUGAACAAAUCAAUCUUCUUAGACGAAAAGGUAUAUUUCCAUAUGAUUUCGUAGAUGGAUUGGACAAGUUGAUGACUACAAAACUGCCAGAGAAGAAUGAGUUUUACAAUAAACUAACAGAUUCUCAUAUUAUUGACGAAAACUAUCACCAUGCUGUUACAGUAUGGAAUAUGUUUACUAUAAAAAUUUUGGGUCAAUAUUCAGAUUUGUACUUGAAAACAGAUUUUAAACGGUUUUAUUAUUAGCGGACGUCUUCGAAAGUUUUCGAGAGACAUCUCUGAAAGCGUAUAGUUUAUGUCCUGCACACUUUUACACGACUCCAGGUCUCACAUUUUCAGCAGCUCUAAGAAUGACAAAAGUGGAAUUGGAGCUUCUUACAGAUAUAGAUAUGCUGAUGUUUAUUGAAACAGGCAUUCGAGGAGGAAUAAGUCAAUGUUGCAAUCGGUAUGCUAUGGCGAACAAUCCGUACAUGGGACCAUCAUACGAUAAGAAUCAGAAAACGAAGACACUCUUAUAUUUUGGUAUUAAUAAUCUUUAUGGAUGGGCUAUGGUGCAGUAUUUACCAGUGGGAAAAUUCAAAUGGAUCGAAUAUGAAACGAAUUCAAAUUUUUUCAAUGCACCACCAGACUCUGAUACAGGCUACUUUGCUGAAGUAGAUUUAGAGUAUCCUGAAGAAAUACAUGAUGAUCAUCAAGAUUUGCCUUUUUGUGCAGAGCAUCGUACAUCCCCUGGCUCAAAGCAAAAGAAACUGUUGACUACUUUGAACGAUAAGAAAAGGUAUGUCAUUCAUUAUCUUGCGUUAAAACAGGUAUUAGAUAAUGGACUUCGACUAAAAUAAGUGCAUAGGAUUCUGAGUUUUGAGCAGAAGCCUUGGCUCAAACCAUAUGUUGAAUUUAAUACAGAGAAGAGAAAGCAGGCCAAGAAUGAGUUUGAAAAGCUUUUCUACAAGUUAUUUAUUAAUGCAGUAUAUGGUAAGUGCAUCGAGCGAGAACGAUCUCGCGUUGAUGUGCGAUUAGUGAAAAAAUUUACAGGUCGAUAUGGAGCAGAAGUACGUAUAGCUCAACCAAAUUUUCAUAGUUGUGCUAUCUUUGAUGAAAAUUUGGUUGCUAUACAGCUAAAGAGAACAAGUAUUACAAUUAAAAAAACAAUAUACGUUGGUCUCAGCAUUCUCGAUUUGUCUAAAACAUUGUUAUACGAUUUUCAUUAUUCAUAUAUGAAGCGUCGACUUGGGGACAAAUGUAAACUCCUUUAAGUCGUUGACGUGGAUAUGUAUAAAAUAAUGAAAGAAGACUUGCACAAAUUUGAUACUUCUGAUUACAAAGAGAACAAUCAAUUUGGAAUCCCGCGUGUCAAUAAAAAAGUGCCUGGAUUAAUGAAAGAUGAAUGCUGUGGCAAAAUUAUGACGGAAUUUAUUGGUUUACGUAGCAAAAUGUAUAGUAUUUUGAUAGAUGGAUCUGAGACUGUGAAAAAAUCCAAAGGCAUAAAAUUGAGUGUUGUGAAGAAAACAAUCACGUUCGAAGAUUAUCGAAAAUGUCUUGAAGAACAAAUUAUUGUUAAACGUGAGCAGUGCAACAUUCGCUCUAAAUUGCAUGUAGUGCAUACUGAAAAACAGAAUAAAAUAGCACUAAGUCCGCAUGAUAAUAAAAGAUACUUAUUACCUCAUAGCACAGACACUUUGCCUUGGGGUCAUUACCGAAUUAUUGAGGAACAGAUGGCGCUGGCUGUAAUUCAAAUGGAGGUGGAUGAAAAAAUGGCUGAUACAAGAAAAGAAAGAUUGGGGGAGAUGGAAGUGGAGAAGGGGUAUGAAGCGGCCAAUACUGAAGAAGAAAGCGAGAGAGCAAUGGAGAGGGGAAACGAAGUGACCAAUGAAUACAGUGCAGCACGAGUGGGGCUGACACUUUAUGGCGAUACAGGUGAACAAAUCAUUAUCGAAUAUGAUGUUUGUCAGGAGCUAAUGCACGAAUGGAAUCCAUCGAUGGAGGGGGCAUCUUCCGAUAGAAGGGAUAUUCUACAAGAGGCGAUGGAAGGGGCAGACAUCAUGGUAGGGAAUGGGCUAUGGGAAUGAGCAGUCGAGCUUGAAAAUUACCUGCCUUUGGAGAAGAAACCAAGACUCACUUAACAUUUCCAAAAUGGAUCUAUCUGCACUUAACAAAAUUGCUGAGCGCGAGUUCUUGCCCAAGAAGAAAGCCACGGACUUAGAAAAAGAUCAUGCAUACAUGGUGACUGCGCUCAAGGAAGUAAAGACGAGAUUCGGCACGAAGAUCGUGGCCGAGAUCGAUAACAGCUUUCAAAUAUUUCUUCCAGAAAAGAUCUCAUCAGCAAUCUUGAAAGAUCAAGAACUUUUCAAUAAUCUCUCUAACACAGCAAAUAAACUUAGUUUAUUUAUAACAUAUCAGGGUGGAACUUCUUUUAAGUUCACCACAUGCUAAAAUAAUGAAAU